GAAAAGAUGAUUAUUGAAAACCUAGAUUCAUUGAAAACGUGGCUUUUUAAAACCCUCGAACCAAUUUGUGAUGCAGAUCCAUCCGCCCUCGCGAAAUACGUCGUUGCCUUGGUGAAGAAAGACAAGAGCCAGACGGAACUCAAAGCCCUGUGUGUCGACCAGUUGGACGUAUUUCUACAGAAAGAGACGCAGACCUUUGUCGAUAGACUCUUUGAAGCAGUCAACUCCAAAAGCUACCUACCUCAGCAGGACCAUCAGCCAGGUGCCGCGGGCAAAGCGGAGGGACACCUGACCAGGACGGACAAAGACGACCCGAGGAAAGAUGAGCCAAGUCGUGAGGAGGACCGGGACAAGAAGUUCUCCAGGAGAGUGAACUACAGCCCCCCGUCCAGCUCCCGCUACAGUAGAGACAGCAGACGAGGGGAUGACCGUAAAAGGGACGACCGUACCAGGAAACGGAACGACACGACCGCAUCCCCCGAGACGGGACUCGUACCGGGACCGCUACAACCGGAGGAGGGGCCGUAGCUACAGCCGCAGUAGGAGCAGGAGCAAGGACCGGGCCAGGGACCGGGAGAGAGACCGAGACCGCAGUAGCAGGAGUCACAGCAGGAGCCACUCCAAGAGCAGAGAGCGGGAUGCUGGGAGGUCAAAGUACGAGCCCGAUGGAGGAGACCGGGGACGGGGUUGGAGCUGGUGAAGGCCUACUGCCGAUCCCCACGGCAACCGCCACGUUCCCCGUGCCCACCCUCAGCAGCACCAUCACGGUGAUCGCCCCUCAAGGUAACCACAGCAACAACAUCGCCUCGGUGACGGACAGCUGGUCGGACUUCCACCCGGAUCAGUCACUGGACCGGCCCCUUCCGCCACAGAGGAAACGUUGCCGUGACUACGACGAGAAAGGCUUCUGUAUGCGCGGGGACAUUUGCCCGUUCGACCACGGUAUCGAUCCAGUGGUGGUGGAGGACGUUAAUCUGCCUAACAUGUUCCAAGCCCCUCCCCCUAUCCCGGGGGUCGCCCAGCCCCCUCCCGGCCUACCGCCCCCACCAGGACCUCCCCCUCUCAUGACCCCACCUCCCGUCAACCUCCGCCCCCCAGUGCCCCUGACAGGCGGCCUGCCGCCCGGCCUCCCGCCCGGCCCGCCGCCCAGCCUGCUGCCAGGUCCCCCUCACCAGGCAUCAGGGAUGGAUGCCCCUCCUAACUCCAUCGCCAACUCUGUUCCCACUAUUGUAACCACGGGGACACGACCCUCCAUCCCCCAGCCCCCGGCUCCUCUCUUCCCACCAGGCCAGUAUGACUCUGACAUGUAUAACCCUGAGGAUCCCAGCCUCACCAACACCUCCAGACCAGUGUAUCGCCACAGAGUCAACGCCCAAAGACCCAACCUCAUAGGACUGACUAUGGCGGAGGACCUGCCUCACAGAGACAGAGAUCAGAUGCCCAACAGAAUGAGGAUCGUUCUGGACCAUCAUAGGCCUCCAGGAAGAGAUCUGCUGUCUCACACCACGGAGCAAUGCUCCCCAAGAAACCCUGGGCCGAAAAACCAAACUUCAACCAGCAGAACCUCCAGGGUGGGUUCCACAACAAGAACCCUCAGAACCAGAACCAGAAGGCUCCGUUUGGGUCAAACACCAAGCUGUCGGUCCUUCAGAUCCCCCAGGGACUCAACAACAUCUCCAAGCUUAACCAACACUUCAGCAAGUUUGGGACUAUCGUCAACCUGCAGGUAACCUAUGGUAAUGACCCGGAGGGGGCCCUGAUCCAGUUCGACAGUCACCAGGUGCAGCAGCCAGCCACUAGUCUGAAACAGUCCGUCAAAGAUCGUCUGGGCCCUCUGCCUGCCGACAGCUCAGAGCCCAACCGAGACUCUCGUGUUGCCUCACAGAAUGACUUUAAAUCCAACCUAUCAAUGAAGGAGAGGCUGGGCUUCGCCUCUAAACCAGGAAGUACCCCGAGUGGCCCGGCAGGAAAGGUGUUCUCCACCUCUACGGGGCUGACUAAGACAGUGUACAACAUGGCUGCUCUGAAAGCAGCUCAGAAGACGGCUCUGUUCGCUGGGGUCGCUGCUACAGAGGAGGCUAUGAAGAAUAAACAGGAAGCCCUGCGGCUCCAACAGGAAAUGAGGAAGAAGAAGCAGGAAAUCCUGGAAAAACACAUCGAGACUCAGAAGCUGUUGAUCUGUAAACUGGAGAAGAACAAGACGAUGAAGGCAGGAGACAAGGCGGUGAUCAUGACAACGCUGGGAACGCUGACCAAGAGUAUUACCAAACUACAGCAAGAGAUCAAAGGGCUCUCUAACCCUUCGGGAGGACGGGGGGCGCCCAAGAGCAAGGCUCAGGCUCAGAAGGAGUUGCUGGACACAGAACUGGACCUGUAUAAGAAGACCCAGUCUGGAGAAGAUACCGUUCAGCUGAAGAUCAGAUACACACAACUACAGUUAGAGGCAGCUAAGAGGGGGAUCCUGGCUCCAGGGCGGGGCAGAGGGGCUCAUGCUCGAGGCCGUGGGGGCCUGAGAGGCAGGGGGAGGGGAAGGGGUUGCCGGGGGAGGGGUCUCCCUGUCCACUCUACAGUAGAUCACAGACCCAGAGCCCUGGAGAUCUCUGGCUUUACUGAGACUGACCUCCAGGAUCUACUGCCACACUUUGCUCAAUUUGGAGAGUUGGAGGACUGUCAGAUAGACGAGCCAUCCUGUCUGGCUGUUAUCACCUACAGGAGCAGACCAGAGGCUGAACAGGCGGCGCUACACAGUGUCCGUCUGAACGGCAGCGAUCUGCGUCUGUCCUGGCACAAGCCUGCCGUCUCCCUGACCUCCCAGGAGCCUGAUGAGCAGGAGACGGAUCAUGACGAGUUCCAGGAAGAGUCGCUGAUUGAUGAUGCGUUGCUCCAGGACGACGACGAGGAGGAUGACGACAACGAACCCCGCCCCUGGCGCAGAUGAAGACGGCCCCUGAUUGGACGAAAUGCUAACGCAAUUUUGUUUUUCUUUUUUCUUUGCAGUUUCUGAUUGGCUUUUUUUUUUAACUACUAGACUCAUUUCACAAUAGGUCAGAACCUAAACAGUUAAUUAAUUCUGUUGUGGCGAUUCAGAAGAUUACUAGACAAAGUCAUGUGGGAGUUUCAUGUAAAUAUAGUGGUUUAUUCUUCUUCCUGCUUUUAAUUUGUAAAAGUAGUUUAACAUGAAGAUUGGUACAGUUUUUUAAAAUAGUUUCUUUGCUUAUUGGAUUCAAAUGAAAAUGAUACUAGAUUACUUUAGGGGGAAAAAACAUUUUGGCGUUCAGAUCAAAUGAUGCCAUAAAUGAUGCCGUUGUGUUGAAACGCCUGAUGUUUAUUAACGGUGAGAAUCGCAGAAUGGUGAACUAAAAGACGGGAGAGUUUUGACUGUGUGUGAUAUUAGAUUGCUUCUUGUGUAAAUAUUUUCUGUCUGGAUUUUAAUGAUUUGUAAUGACGGCUUUGGCUUCGGGAUUCUUUCUUUCUUGGAUUUAUUUUUGAAAUGUCAAAAUAAAUAAAAUAAAGACUUUAAAAUGGUCAAAAAAAAUAAAUGAAAAAUCAGCUGCAAAAAAAAAAA